rnacentral:rRNA from 1 species
AUUGAACGCUGGCGGCAUGCCUUACACAUGCAAGUCGAACGGUAACGGGCCUUCGGGUGCCGACGAGUGGCGAACGGGUGAGUAAUGUAUCGGAACGUACCUUUCAGUGGGGGAUAACGUAGCGAAAGUUACGCUAAUACCGCAUAUUCUGUGAGCAGGAAGGCAGGGGAUCGCAAGACCUUGCGCUGAUUGAGCGGCCGAUAUCAGAUUAGCUAGUUGGUGAGGUAAAGGCUCACCAAGGCGACGAUCUGUAGCGGGUCUGAGAGGAUGAUCCGCCACACUGGAACUGAGACACGGUCCAGACUCCUACGGGAGGCAGCAGUGGGGAAUUUUGGACAAAUGGGGGGCAACCCUGAUCCAGCCAUGCCGCGUGAGUGAAGAAGGCCUCGG